AUGCACAUCCCUACAAUGUUAAUGCACCAAAUCCCAACAUAACUCCAUAGUUAAGCGCACUUGGGAUAGAGUAGUAAUGGGAUGGGUGACCUUUUGGGAAGUCCUAGUGUUUUGCAUG
rfam:Picea glauca, whole genome shotgun sequence.